GAUGAACGCUGGCGGCGUGCCUAAUACAUGCAAGUCGAGCGAAUGGAUUAAGAGCUUGCUCUUAUGAAGUUAGCGGCGGACGGGUGAGUAACACGUGGGUAACCUGCCCAUAAGACUGGGAUAACUCCGGGAAACCGGGGCUAAUACCGGAUAACAUUUUGAACCGCAUGGUUCGAAAUUGAAAGGCGGCUUCGGCUGUCACUUAUGGAUGGACCCGCGUCGCAUUAGCUAGUUGGUGAGGUAACGGUUCACCAAGGCAACGAUGCGUAGCCGACCUGAGAGGGCGAUCGGCCACACUGGGACUGAGACACGGCCCAGACUCCUACGGGAGGCAGCAGUAGGGAAUCUUCCGCAAUGGACGAAAGUCUGACGGAGCGACGCCGCGUGAGUGAUGAAGGCUUUCGGGUCGUAAAACUCUGUUGUUAGGGAAGAACAAGUGCUAGUUGAAUAAGCUGGCACCUUGACGGUACCUAACCAGAAAGCCACGGCUAACUACGUGCCAGCCGCCGCGGUAA
rnacentral:rRNA from 1 species